rnacentral:sRNA from 1 species
AGAAGCAGAUGGAGGUUAUGGAAAUGGAGGUGAUGGAGGCCCGUCUCAUCCGGGCAGCGGAGAUCAACGGGGAAGUGGAUGAUGAUGAUGCAGGUGGCGAGUGGCGGCUGAAGUAUGAGCGGGCUGUGCGGGAGGUGGACUUCACCAAGAAACGGCUCCAGCAGGAGUUUGAGGACAAGCUGGAGGUGGAGCAGCAGAACAAGAGGCAGCUGGAACGGCGGGUGAGGCUGGGGAGGAGCUGAGGCCUGUGCCUGGGAGGGCCAGGAGAGGACUGGUGCCUUGUGUCGGUCCAGUGAACGCUGGGGGCAGGCAGGCCUGGCUGGAAUGGAUCGGGGAGGCUGGCAUGUUAGCUUCUUGGUGCAGGGGCAAUCAGGAGCAAGCUAUCAUUAGAGCUUCUUCAGUUCCCUGGGAGACCCGACUUCCUCCCGCAUCCCUGGGUCUUCCCCUCACUCACCCACUUCCCUCUCCUCACCUUCUCCACCUAUGCUUCUGGGUCUCUCUGUAUAUGCACCCCAUCUUGGCCCCUAGCUCGGGGACCUGCAGGCAGAUAGUGAGGAGAGUCAGCGGGCUCUGCAGCAGCUCAAGAAGAAGUGCCAGCGACUGACGGCUGAGCUGCAAGACACCAAGCUGCACCUGGAGGGCCAGCAGGUCCGCAACCACGAACUGGAGAAGAAGCAGAGGAGGUUUGACAGUGAGCUCUCGCAGGCGCAUGAGGAGGCCCAGCGGGAGAAGCUGCAGCGGGAGAAGCUGCAGCGGGAGAAGGACAUGCUCCUCGCUGAGGCUUUCAGCCUGAAGCAGCAACUAGAGGAAAAAGACAUGGACAUUGCAGGGUUCACCCAGAAGGUUGUGUCUCUAGAGGCAGAGCUCCAGGACAUUUCUUCCCAAGAGUCCAAGGAUGAGGCUUCUCUAGCCAAGGUCAAGAAACAGCUCCGGGACCUGGAGGCCAAAGUCAAGGAUCAGGAAGAAGAGCUGGAUGAGCAGGCAGGGACCAUCCAGAUGCUGGAACAGGCCAAGCUGCGUCUGGAGAUGGAGAUGGAGCGGAUGAGACAGACCCAUUCUAAGGAGAUGGAGAGUCGGGAUGAGGAGGUGGAGGAGGCCCGGCAGUCGUGUCAGAAGAA